ACGAGCGCUAGACGGGUGAGUAAUGCUUAGGAAUCUGCCCAGUAGUGGGGGACAACAGUCGGAAACGGCUGCUAAUAGCGCAUACGCCCUACGGGGGAAAGCAGGGGAUCUUCGGACCUUGCGCUAUUGGAUGAGCCUAAGUCGGAUUAGCUAGUUGGUAGGGUAAAGGCCUACCAAGGCGACGAUCCGUAGCUGGUCUGAGAGGAUGAUCAGCCACAUCGGGACUGAGACACGGGCCGAACUCCUACGGGAGGCAGCAGUGGGGAAUAUUGGACAAAUGGGGGGAACCCUGAUCCAGCCAUGCCGCGUGUGUGAAGAAAGCCCUCGGGUUGUAAAGCACUUUCAGUGAGGAAGAACGCCUGGUGGUUAAUACCCAUCAGGAAAGACAUCACUCACAGAAGAAGCACCGGCUAACUCCGUGCCAGCAGCCGCGGUAAUACGGAGGGUGCGAGCGUUAAUCGGAAUUACUGGGCGUAAAGCGCGCGUAGGUGGUUUGGUAAGCGAGAUGUGAAAGCCCCGGGCUUAACCUGGGAACGGCAUUUCGAACUGUCAGACUAGAGUGUGGUAGAGGGUAGUGGAAUUUCCUGUGUAGCGGUGAAAUGCGUAGAUAUAGGAAGGA
rnacentral:rRNA from 1 species